AUGUCUUGCUGCAGCUACUGGCAUAUCCUGUCCAACCCAUCCCCCAAUAUGACUGCAUUACAAACAAGGCUAGAAAGACAACAACAAAAUUUAAGGACUGCACUGAAGAUGCACAGGGAAAAAAAACACCCAUCACCAAACAAACAAAGAAAGGACACACACUUUCAGCUGUAGGAAGAGCAGUGUGCAGACCACGAAGGGCAUUCCUGGAAGGAACUCCAGGCAGAGAUGGCCGUGUUUCAGCACGUGCAAUUGCAGAACUCAUGGCUGAAACGACUCCGCUGCACAGAAGUGAAGGGAUUCCCUCCACCAGUGUGUCUCCAGCACACGAGUCCCUGCUGUCACAUCAAGGUGGCCCAGGGCUGCAUUCGUUCACAGGAAGGGAGGCAUGAAGGGCUAGAAGAGGAAUAGCUGGACCCAGAGCUCACACAGGAGAAGGCUCUUGUCUGCAACAGCUUGGACAGGAGUAGCUUACAGAGCCAGACAAAAAUUCAACCUACCCAGAUAUGGAUGUGAAGGGGUGGGACGGCUAAAAACUAGCUGGUGCCAAAUCCCAGUCACGGAUGAAUGAAAUGGAAAAUAAAAUGAACAGAAGAGUCCAGUUCCUGAGCAGUCAGGAAUUUCUGAUCUAUGCACCUCUGGGACGCAGUAUUUCCAUACCUCAGCCUUGCUUUUUGAGACUUCACAGACAUCUGCUGCAGUGAACAUCCCUGCCAGCAAACACAUGUUCCAAGGGCCUGUAUUUGCCUGCACCUCAUCGUAAAGCAAUGGAGAAGAGUCUGGUUCACAGCACCCUCUGCAUUGCCCAACAACAGGCAGAAAUAAGUUGUUAGAUUAAUGGGGUUUCCAUGUACUGGGCAGCAUUUAUCAGAACUAGGUGCAUAAAGAGAGGCUGCAAGACCUUUGUCUUGGCAUCUGAAAGGGAUAACUUGAUUUUCAGAAGUGCUCAGCACCACUGAUGAGAAUUACAGAUACUGGCUUGUGCAUGGGAACAGCUGAACUUAACAUCUAUUUAGGCUGUCAGAGCACUAAAAGGAACUGUGUAAAGAAACUCCAGAUCCAGGCUUAAGGAAAAAGUUUAUCAUAUUUCAUCCAAGAAAGAAAUAUUAAAAAAAGAACACAAGAGAGGGAGAGAACGAAGACACUGAGUUCAGAGCUCGAUUUUAAGACCACUGAUUU